rnacentral:tRNA from 1 species
GCAUCUAUGGCAGAGUGGUCGAUUGCACCGCACUCAUAAUGCGGAUCUGUAUAGACGUCGUUGGUUCGAAUCCAACUGGAUGCU